GUUUCCAUUUCCGCUUCCGUUUCCGUUUCUGCUUCCGUUUCCGUUUCUGCUUCCGCUUCCGCUUCCAUCUCUUCCAGUGUGUGAGGAGACAUUGUUCUGAGGGAAGGUGCUGUUGUCUCAGCUGGCUACAAGCUUGAAAUGACUCAACGUGAUUCCCAGUCUAACUUCCGCGAUGAUUUCACCAAAUUCUUACUCUUCACUAAGCACAUAAAAUAACUUCAUGUAAGUGAUAUUUAACAUCUUUGAAA